rnacentral:rRNA from 1 species
AGAGUUUGAUCCUGGCUCAGGACGAACGCUGGCGGCGUGCCUAAUACAUGCAAGUAGAACGCUGAAGAGAGGAGCUUGCUCUUCUUGGAUGAGUUGCGAACGGGUGAGUAACGCGUAGGUAACCUGCCUUGUAGCGGGGGAUAACUAUUGGAAACGAUAGCUAAUACCGCAUAACAAUGGAUGACACAUGUCAUUUAUUUGAAAGGGGCAAUUGUUCCACUACAAGAUGGACCUGCGUUGUAUUAGCUAGUAGGUGAGGUAAUGGCUCACCUAGGCGACGAUACAUAGCCGACCUGAGAGGGUGAUCGGCCACACUGGGACUGAGACACGGCCCAGACUCCUACGGGAGGCAGCAGUAGGGAAUCUUCGGCAAUGGGGGCAACCCUGACCGAGCAACGCCGCGUGAGUGAAGAAGGUUUUCGGAUCGUAAAGCUCUGUUGUAAGUCAAGAACGGGUGUGAGAGUGGAAAGUUCACACUGUGACGGUAGCUUACCAGAAAGGGACGGCUAACUACGUGCCAGCAGCCGCGGUAAUACGUAGGUCCCGAGCGUUGUCCGGAUUUAUUGGGCGUAAAGCGAGCGCAGGCGGUUUGAUAAGUCUGAAGUUAAAGGCUGUGGCUCAACCAUAGUUCGCUUUGGAAACUGUCAAACUUGAGUGCAGAAGGGGAGAGUGGAAUUCCAUGUGUAGCGGUGAAAUGCGUAGAUAUAUGGAGGAACACCGGUGGCGAAAGCGGCUCUCUGGUCUGUAACUGACGCUGAGGCUCGAAAGCGUGGGGAGCGAACAGGAUUAGAUACCCUGGUAGUCCACGCCGUAAACGAUGAGUGCUAGGUGUUGGAUCCUUUCCGGGAUUCAGUGCCGCAGCUAACGCAUUAAGCACUCCGCCUGGGGAGUACGACCGCAAGGUUGAAACUCAAAGGAAUUGACGGGGGCCCGCACAAGCGGUGGAGCAUGUGGUUUAAUUCGAAGCAACGCGAAGAACCUUACCAGGUCUUGACAUCCCGAUGCUAUUUCUAGAGAUAGAAAGUUACUUCGGUACAUCGGUGACAGGUGGUGCAUGGUUGUCGUCAGCUCGUGUCGUGAGAUGUUGGGUUAAGUCCCGCAACGAGCGCAACCCCUAUUGUUAGUUGCCAUCAUUCAGUUGGGCACUCUAGCGAGACUGCCGGUAAUAAACCGGAGGAAGGUGGGGAUGACGUCAAAUCAUCAUGCCCCUUAUGACCUGGGCUACACACGUGCUACAAUGGUUGGUACAACGAGUUGCGAGUCGGUGACGGCGAGCUAUCUCUUAAAGCCAAUCUCAGUUCGGAUUGUAGGCUGCAACUCGCCUACAUGAAGUCGGAAUCGCUAGUAAUCGCGGAUCAGCACGCCGCGGUGAAUACGUUCCCGGGCCUUGUACACACCGCCCGUCACACCACGAGAGUUUGUAACACCCGAAGUCGGUGAGGUAACCUUUUGGAGCCAGCCGCCUAAGGUGGGACAGAUGAUUGGGGUGAAGUCGUAACAAGGUA